UGGGGAAUAUUGCACAAUGGGGGAAACCCUGAUGCAGCGACGCCGCGUGAGCGAAGAAGGUUUUCGAAUCGUAAAGCUCUGUCCUAUGAGAAGAUAAUGACGGUAUCAUAGGAGGAAGCCCCGGCUAAAUACGUGCCAGCAGCCGCGGUAAUACGUAUGGGGCGAGCGUUGUCCGGAAUUAUUGGGCGUAAAGGGUACGUAGGCGGUCUAUUAAGUCAGGUGUGAAAGCGUGAGGCUUAACCUCAUUAAGCACUUGAAACUGAUAGACUUGAGUGAAGGAGAGGAAAGUGGAAGUCCUAGUGUAGCGGUGAAAUGCGUAGAUAUUAGGAGGAAUACCGGUGGCGAAGGCGACUUUCUGGACUUUUACUGACGCUCAGGUACGAAAGCGUGGGGAGCAAACAGG
rnacentral:rRNA from 1 species